rnacentral:rRNA from 1 species
CUAGCGAUUCCAACUUCACGCAGUCGAGUUGCAGACUGCGAUCCGGACUACGAUACACUUUCUGGGAUUAGCUCCCCCUCGCGGGUUGGCGGCCCUCUGUAUGUACCAUUGUAUGACGUGUGAAGCCCUACCCAUAAGGGCCAUGAGGACUUGACGUCAUCCCCACCUUCCUCCGGUUUGUCACCGGCAGUCUCAUUAGAGUGCCCUUUCGUAGCAACUAAUGACAAGGGUUGCGCUCGUUGCGGGACUUAACCCAACAUCUCACGACACGAGCUGACGACAGCCAUGCAGCACCUGUGUUACGGCUCUCUUUCGAGCACCCCUCAAUCUCUCGAGGGUUCCGUACAUGUCAAGGGUAGGUAAGGUUUUUCGCGUUGCAUCGAAUUAAUCCACAUCAUCCACCGCUUGUGCGGGUCCCCGUCAAUUCCUUUGAGUUUUAAUCUUGCGACCGUACUCCCCAGGCGGUCUACUUCACGCGUUAGCUGCGUUACCAAGUCAAUUAAGACCCGACAACUAGUAGACAUCGUUUAG